GAAGUAUUAUGGUCUGGAUAAUAAGUGGGGUCACAUUGAACAGUGGAUGGAGGACAGUGAACGUUACUCUCGACUCUCUCGGAGAAACACUUCGGUGUCGGACGAUGACGAGAAAAUGUCCGUCUGCAGCCGAGGAAGCUGCAGGG